UCCGCUAUGCUCACUGGAGUGUGGAGUCUCGGUCGGCCACCCCUCUCCCUGACCUAGGCGCCACCUCUCGCCCUCCCGCGAACUCCAUGGCGACUGCGGCCUGAUCUGCAUCCUCGCCGGCCCUGCUGAGCCCGUCUACCUCGCCACCGCCGCCCUGGUCUUCAAAUCGCGGCUGCCCCACUUCAACCUCGCCGCCGCCGGCCGGGAGAGAUGGAUGAUGAGGUGCAGGAGACUCCAAAUGUCGGUGCUCUUCCCACGAAGGCCCCCAAGGUCAUGAAUUGGACUCCGCCUAUGUCUGCGUUGAUGUUGAAAGGCAUUUCAGAGGUGCCGGCAAGAGGUGCCAAGACUGACAAAGGGUUCAAUGAGGUAAGUGUCUUCAGAGAAGAAAUUCUCCGACUUGCUGGGAUUGCUUGUCAUGAAGAGGAGGGAAAAUCGCAGACAGAGCUACUGGAGAAGCUCAAAACAUGUAACAAGAUUAUGCUAGUUGAACUGUGCCGCUCAUUUGAUGUCCCUGGUUCAACAAGCACUAAGAAGGAUGAAUUAGUGACAAUAGUGAUGGAGUUCUUGAUGGAACACUGUUCUGGUAUUAUUUACACAGAUCCUGAUAAGGCUCAACUUAGCGGUCAGAAAUUUAAGAAAAGAAAGCGCAAGAAGAAUGAAGCAAAUCUAUCUGGUGGUGAACCUUCCAAGAAAAGGAAACCAGAUGGAACUCUACUGGAAAUUCGUAGUCAAGAGGAAGCAGAUGGGAGAAAAGCUGUAGAAGAUAGAACAAACCAUUCCGAGUUCUUCUCGAGGGAUAACAAGACAGGACAAUUUGCGAAGGAACAAGCUAAACCUGGGCCUUUUGAAGGGGUAAAUGACUCCGCGUUGGGGAAAUUAGCUGUAGUUCCGCUCCCAGGAGUACCGUUUCCUACAGAUGAACAAACGCUAAUCACAACACCAUCUGCAAAGUUAGUUAGCAAUGUUGAGAAUGAUGACACGGAUAUGGUGGCUUCAACGAAGAAAAACAUUUCUCUUACCAAGAAAAAGGCAAUCCAAAACACAGAUUCCAAGGAGAAAUCUGGUGGUAAAAUUAUGUCUAGAGGAGAUGCGAAGCCAUGGAAGCAGGCACCGAAACCAAGCAAGGAUGAGCUGAGACAAGCUGUCUUCUGUAUAUUGGGUGCUGCAAAUUUUGCCACGAUGACUUUUGGAGAGGUUGUAAAAGCAGUUGACAAGUACUUUGGCAAGGAUUUGUUCAAGAGAAAGCCGCUGGUAAGGGCCUUGAUAGAGGAGGAGCUGUUUAGGCUAGCCAAGGCGGCUGAGAGGAAGGAAGUGGAAGAGGAGGAAGCAAUGGAAGCAAAAAUAAAAGCCGAACAAGCUGCCAAGGACAGCAGCGCAAGGGAUGGAAGAGUUGAAUCAGAGAUAGACAAGGAACAUGAAGUUGAAGCUGAUCCAGACGGUAAAUCUAAGGAUGCUGAAAAGAUUGGUAACAGCAAUAGUAGUGAAGAAGGUGGUAAAAGUGGGAUUUGUGUGAAGACUGGUGAGAAGGGAAACAGCGCCGCUGCCGCCGCUGAGAAUUUACAAGAUGGAAAGGCAGAAGUUGACGACACGAGGAAGAAAGGAAACAGUGAUGGUUUUGGCAAGGAUUGCGAGGCUGAAAAGGUUGUGCAGAACGCAAAUGGCGAUGGUGGCAUAGAAAUAUUGGGAGAUGGUAAAGCUGAAACUGCGAAUAAUUGCAGCGGUAACACCAUAGGAGGUUCUGGAGAAAAAGAUGGCGGAUCUGAAGAAGGCAGGGCUGAGAAUGAUGCAGAAAAUGCUGGUGACUGUGAACCUGAAGAAUCUGAAACUAAUGAACCAGAAGCAGAAGCAGAAGCAGAAGAUGUCAAAUCUAAGGAAGCCCGUGGCAAUUAGAUCGCCCUAUCCCCUAUGGUGCUAACUAAAUGUGGCAAAACAAAAUAGAUGCCAGGCAAUAUGAUUACUGAAGCGAGUCGCGGAUGAUGAUGGUCGAGCGGAAGAUUCCGAAGGCACCAAAACUGAUAGCUGCUUUACUCCAAUGGGCGGGCGGGCGGACGGACGGCCUGGAUUGGUCUGACAUGGCAGUGAUCGACGGUUGUGGAAUGUGACAGGUGGCACAUGCUUAUCGACAGACCAACGGCUGGGUUGGCUCCACGUUCACAGCUCCAUCCCUUCUUAUCCGCGCAAUCCAACGGACCGGACCCAGCCAAGCCAUUCCCCACCACCCUCUCCCUCCUCUUCUUGUCGCACUGCACAUAAUAGUCUCCA